rnacentral:rRNA from 1 species
AGCAGCAGCCGCGGGAAUACGUAGGUGGCAAGCGUUGUCCGGAAUUAUUGGGCGUAAAGGGCUCGCAGGCGGUUUCUUAAGUCUGAUGUGAAAGCCCCCGGCUCAACCGGGGAGGGUCAUUGGAAACUGGGAAACUUGAGUGCAGAAGAGGAGAGUGGAAUUCCACGUGUAGCGGUGAAAUGCGUAGAGAUGUGGAGGAACACCAGUGGCGAAGGCGACUCUCUGGUCUGUAACUGACGCUGAGGAGCGAAAGCGUGGGGAGCGAACAGGAUUAGAUACCCGAGUAGUCCCUGUCUCUUAUAU